CAAACGACUCUCGGCAACGGAUAUCUCGGCUCACGCAUCGAUGAAGAACGUAGCAAAAUGCGAUACUUGGUGUGAAUUGCAGAAUCCCGUGAACCAUCGAGUUUUUGAACGCAAGUUGCGCCCGAAGCCUUUUGGCCGAGGGCACGCCUGCCUGGGCGUCACAC
rnacentral:rRNA from 2 species